rnacentral:rRNA from 1 species
AAACUAACAAGGAUUUCCCUGGUAGCGGCGAGCGACCGGGAAUUAGCCCAACACCGAAUCCUGUACCUUAACCGGUAUUGGGAAUUGUAGUGUAAAGGUUGUGUCUUUGACGAAGGAAUCGGCUUCAAAUUCACUUGACUGUGAUUUUUGUCCAUAGAGGGUGUUAGGCCCGUUGGAGUCGACGAUCUUGUUUUUGAUGCUUCCUAUGAGUCGGAUUGUUUGAGAAUGCAGUCCAAAUUGGGUGGUAAACUCCAUCUAAGGCUAAAUACUUGUGUGAGUCCGAUAGCAAACAAGUACCGUGAGGGAAAGUUGAAAAGAACUUUGAAGAGAGAGUUAAAUAGUACGUGAAAUCGCUUAGAGGUAAACGAAUGGAGCCGAUAUGAAUAUAUAGGAUUCAGUUUAUUGUUGAUGGAAUGUUGUUGUUGUAAAUCCGUAAAAAGAUUAUCGAUGACUUCUUGAUUAUUCUGUUGACGAUAGAUGCACUUUCUAUAUUAUUCUUACUGCGACCGUUAGUGACGUCAUUCUGUCGUAGCAUUGAAGGUGGUUUGUUGCUUGCAAUAAAUUUUAUAGCUUGUUACAUGGUUUGAUUAGUUGUAAUGGUGAUUGCGAUUGGCUAAUAUUGAUGAUGAUUGAUGUUUUUUCCGUUGAUUAGGACUCAUUAGAGGCUUAGUUGAUGUGAUUGAUGUCUUUUAUUGUUGAUGGGUUAAUUUAAAGUCUGCAGUGUAUAUGUAGGUUAUCUAUUUGUCCCGUCUUGAAACACGGACCAAGGAGUUUUAUAUGAUCGCGAGUCAAAGGGCCUUACGAAACCCCACGGCGUAAUAAAAGUAAAGGUUGAUUUAUCAGCUAAGAUGUGACCUCGUUGAUUGAUUUAUUGAUUGACAGAGAGCAAUAUCGACCAGUCUAAAGGUGUUCGCAUCUGGGCUGAGUUUGAGCGAUCAUGUAGAGACCCGAAAGAUGGUGAACUAUGCUUGUGCAGAUUGAAGUCAGAGGAAACUCUGAUGGAGGAUCGCAGCGGUUCUGACGUGCAAAUCGAUCGUCGGACAUGAGUAUAGGGGCGAAAGACUAAUCGAACCAUCUAGUAGCUGGUUCCCUCCGAAGUUUCCCUCAGGAUAGCUGGCGUUUAUUUGUUGUAGUUUUACCUGGUAAAGCGAAUGAUUAGAAGUAUUGGGGACGAAAUGUCUUCAACUUAUUCUCAAACUUUAAAUGGGUGCGAAGUGUGACUCUCUUUAAUGGAGUUAUGCAUAGAAUACAAAUGCCUAGUGGGCCAUUUUUGGUAAGCAGAACUGGCGAUGUGGGAUGAACCAAACAUCUAGUUAAGGUGCCUAAAUUUACGCUCAUGAGAAACCACAAAAGGUGUUGGUUGAUUAAGACAGCAGGACGGUGGACAUGGAAGUCGUCAUCCGCUAAGGAGUGUGUAACAACUCACCUGCCGAAUCAACCAGCCCUGAAAAUGGAUGGCGCUGUAGCGUAAUACCUAUACUGGAUCGGUAUGGCAAGUAACAGGUAAGUCAUACCGUGUAGGAGGGUGCCGUGGUUGCUAAAACUACUGGCGUGAGUCAGAGUGGACGCGGUCAGCGGGUACAGAUCCUUGGUAGUAUACAAUUAUUCAAGUGAGAACCUUGAA